rnacentral:rRNA from 1 species
GAGAGGUAACGGCUCACCAAGGCAUCGACGGGUAGCUGGUCUGAGAGGAUGAUCAGCCACACUGGAACUGAGACACGGUCCAGACUCCUACGGGAGGCAGCAGUGGGGAAUCUUGCACAAUGGGCGCAAGCCUGAUGCAGCGAUGCCGCGUGCGGGAAGAAGGCCUUAGGGUUGUAAACCGCUUUCAGGAGGGAAGAAAAUGACGGUACCUCCAGAAGAAGGUGCGGCCAACUACGCGCCAGCAGCCGCGGUGACACGUAGGCACCAAGCGUUAUCCGGAUUUAUUGGGCGUAAAGAGCUCGUAGGCGGUUUGGUAAGUCGGGUGUGAAAACUCUGGGCUCAACCCAGAGAGGCCACUCGAUACUGCUAUGACUAGAGUACGGUAGGGGAGCGGGGAAUUCCUGGUGUAGCGGUGAAAUGCGCAGAUAUCAGGAGGAACACCAGCGGCGAAGGCGCCGCUCUGGGCCGUAACUGACGCUGAGGAGCGAAAGCAUGGGUAGCAAACAGGAUUAGAUACCCUGGUAGUCCAUGCCGUAAACGUUGGGCACUAGGUGUGGGUCUCAACCAACGAGAUCCGCGCCGUCGCUAACGCAUUAAGUG